rnacentral:rRNA from 1 species
CCUACGGGCGGCAGCAGUGGGGAAUAUUGCACAAUGGGGGAAACCCUGAUGCAGCAACGCCGCGUGAGUGAAGAAGUAUUUCGGUAUGUAAAGCUCUAUCAGCAGGGAAGAAAAUGACAGUACCUGACUAAGAUGCCCCGGCUAACUACGUGCCAGCAGCCGCGGGAAUACGUAGGGGGCAAGCGUUAUCCGGAUUUACUGGGUGUAAAGGGAGCGUAGACGGGUGCGCAAGUCAGAAGUGAAAGCCCGGGGCCUAACCGGGUGAGUGCCUUUGAAACUGUGUAGCUAGAGUGCAGGAGAGGUAAGUGGAAUGCGUAGUGUAGCGGUGAAAUGCGUAGAUAUUAGGAGGAACACCGGUGGCGAAGGCGGCUUACUGGACUGUAACUGACGUUGAGGCUCGAAAGCGUGGGUAGCAAACAGGAUUAGAUACCCUUGUAGUC